rnacentral:tRNA from 1 species
GGCUUCAUAGCUCAGUUGGUAGAGCAUCCCGCUAGUAACGUGGAGGUCAUGGGUUCAAAUCCCGUUGAAGCUU